rnacentral:rRNA from 1 species
AACGAACGCUGGCGGCAUGCCUAACACAUGCAAGUCGAACGAGACCUUCGGGUCUAGUGGCGCACGUGUGCGUAACGCGUGGGAACCUGCCCUUAGGUUCGGAAUAACUCCCCGAAAGGGGUGCUAAUACCGGAUAAUGUCUUCGGACCAAAGAUUUAUCGCCUUUGGGUGGGCCCGCGUUGGAUUAGCUAGUUGGUAGGGUAAAAGCCUACCAAGGCGACGAUCCAUAGCUGGUCUGAGAGGAUGAUCAGCCACACUGGGACUGAGACACGGCCCAGACUCCUACGGGAGGCAGCAGUGGGGAAUAUUGGGCAAUGGGCGAAAGCCUGAUCCAGCCAUGCCGCGUGAGUGAUGAAGGCCUUAGGGUUGUAAAGCUCUUUUACCCGGGAUGAUAAUGACAGUACCGGGAGAAUAAGCUCCGGCUAACUCCGUG